GAUGAACGCUAGCGGCAGGCCUAACACAUGCAAGUCGCACGAUGAUCCGGGUGCUUGCACCUGGGGAUUAGUGGCGAACGGGUGAGUAACACGUGAGUAACCUGCCCUGGACUCUGGGAUACCCCCGAGAAAUCGGAGCUAAUACCGGAUAGGACCUUUCCUCGCAUGAGGUGGGGGGGAAAGUUUUUUCGGUUUGGGAUGGACUCGCGGCCUAUCCGGUUUGUGGGGGGGUAAUGGCUCACCAAGGCGUCGACGGGUAGCCGGCCUGAGAGGGUGACCGGCCACACGGGGACUGAGACACGGCCCAGACUCCUACGGGAGGCAGCAGUGGGGAAUAUUGCACAAUGGGCGCAAGCCUGAUGCAGCAACGCCGCGUGCGGGAUGACGGCCUUCGGGUUGUAAACCGCUUUUAGUAGGGAAGAAGCCUCUUGGGGUGACGGUACCUGCAGAAAAAGGACCGGCUAACUACGUGCCAGCCGCCGCGGUAAAAC
rnacentral:rRNA from 1 species